rnacentral:lncRNA from 1 species
GGCUGCAGUGAGCCAUGAUCACGCCACUGCACUCCAGCCUGGGCAACAGAGCAAGACCCUGCCUCAAAAAAAAAAAAAAAAAAAAGGCUGGGCACAGUGGCUCAUGCCUGCAAUCCCAGCACUUUGGAAGGCCGAGGCAGGUGGAUCACCUGAGGUCGGGAGUUUGAGGCCAGGCUGGCCAACAUGGUAAAACUCCAUCUCUACUAAAAAUACAAAAAUUAGUCACGCAUGGUGGCGCACGCCUGUAAUCCCAGCUACUGGGGAGGCUGAGGUGGGAGAAUUGCUUGAACCCAGGAGGUGGAGGUUGCAGUGAGCUGAGAUUGUGCCACUGCACUACAGCCUGGACAACAAGCAAGACUCUGUCUCAAAAAAAAAAAAAAAAAAGAGAAGAGAAGAGAGCCCUGUGCAAGGUGGGAAAAAAAUGAGAAAACUAUAACUAAGAAUUUAAUAUCUCACCUUUCUUUUUUUCUUAACAACAACAAAAAAAGAUUUUUAGAAGUAAUUGAAUGAAUUUCAAAGGUUUUGGUAGACAUGGCCAUCUGCUCCUCAGUUCAGGCUGCAGGUGUAACUUCAGCUAUAUCCCUUCCUGCCGCUGAAAAUGGUGUAUGUUCAGGUGUGGGAAGAUCAGGCAGCUGGCUUUGGCAGAGCAAGAGGCUUCAGAGCAAAAGCUAGCAUAUUUAGAUGUAUAUUAUUAUAUCAUGUCACUCAUAGUGAGUUUCUGUAAUAAUCCUUGUAAUAACCUAAUAACCAAAUCCAUUUUCUAAGCAUUAUCCAAAAUGCUUUCCCUCAUACUGUCCCACUGAGCCUUUGCAACAGCUCUGAGAGGUGGGCUAAUAAUAUUAACCCCAUUUUACAAAGAAAGCUGUGGAAGUGAGUUGCUUUCAGGUCUCACAGCGCAGGAGAGACAGAGCUGGGGCUCCAAGUUAGAGCCAGCUUCCUUUGAAUUC